rnacentral:rRNA from 1 species
CAAAAUCUAAAACCGGUCCCAGUUCGGAUUGCAGGCUGCAACUCGCCUGCAUGAAGUUGGAGUUGCUAGUAAUCGCGGAUCAGAAUGCCGCGGUGAAUGCGUUCCCGGGUCUUGUACACACCGCCCGUCACACCAUGGAAGUUGGGGCGCCCGAAGUUGGUCAAGAAGAGAUUACCUAAGGCGAAACCAAUGACUGGGGUGAAGUCGUAACAAGGUAAC